rnacentral:ncRNA from 2 species
ACGUUCUCAACGGGGUGCCGCCUGCUGACCGCAAACGGCUGAGAGAGACCCGUCGAACCUGAUUCGGUUAAUACCGACGUAGGGAUUUGAGAGACCUGCUGCU